UGCAAGUCGAACGAUGAUCCGGUGCUUGCACCGGGGAUUAGUGGCGAACGGGUGAGUAACACGUGAGUAACCUGCCCUUAACUCUGGGAUAAGCCUGGGAAACUGGGUCUAAUACCGGAUAUGACCUUCCAUCGCAUGGUGGUUGGUGGAAAGCUUUUUGGGGUUUUGGAUGGACUCGCGGCCUAUCAGCUUGGUGGUGAGGUAAUGGCUUACCAAGGCGACCACGGGUAGCCGGCCUGAGAGGGUGACCGGCCACCCUGGGACUGAAACACGGCCCAAACUCCUACGGGAGGCAGCAGUGGGGAAUAUUGCACAAUGGGCGCAAGCCUGAUGCAGCGACCCCGCGUGAGGGAUGACGGCCUUCGGGUUGUAAACCUCUUUCAGUAGGGAAGAAGCGAAAGUGACGGUACCUGCAGAAGAAGCGCCGGCUAACUACGUGCCAGCAGCCGCGGUAAUACGUAGGGCGCAGCGUUAUCCGGAAUUAUUGGGCGUAAAGAGCUCGAGGCGGUUUGUCGCGUCUGCCGUGAAAGUCCGGGGCUCACUCCGGAUCUGCGGUGGGUACGGGCAGACUAGAGUGAUGUAGGGGAGACUGGAAUUCCUGGUGUAGCGGUGAAAUGCGCAGAUAUCAGGAGGAACACCGAUGGCGAAGGCGGUCUCUGGGCAUUAACUGACGCUGAGGAGCGAAAGCAUGGGGAGCGAACAGGAUUAGAUACCCUGGUAGUCCAUGC
rnacentral:rRNA from 2 species